AAUAGCCCUCUAUUUGUCACGCAGGGGAAAUUUUUCUCUUAAUAAAGGUAGUGAAUCGUUUACCGCCUUCAUAAAAACGGUAAAUGAUUUACCAUUUUUCUAAUUUUCCACCAAUGCAGUGAAUGAUUCACCACCCUCUUGAAGAUUGUUUGUUAGGAUUUUUUAGGUUGUUAAGAUUGCAUAUGAUUUAAUUGUUAAAAUUUUUAUAUGAUUUUUAGGAUUAUAUAUAAAAAAUUAAAAAAGUGAGGUUUGUAGGAUUAUAUGUUGAUUGAUUGUUAGAAUUAUAUGGAUAGAUUAUUAGGAUCUUUUUGGUUGUUAAGAUUGUAUGUGAUUUAUUAAAAUUUUUAUGCAGUUGUUAGGAUUAUAUAGGAAAUAGAAAAAAAGAGAAAGAUGGUAAAUAAUUCACCGCUUUUGUAGAAAAUUAGAAAGACAGUGAAGCGUUUACGUCUUUAAAAUAAAAUUUCAUCGUAACUCCUACAUCGCAAAAUAAGGAUUAGUCUAUCAAUUUUUUUUUUUUAGAAUUAUUUAUCUAAUUAGAAAAUUUCUAUAGGGUUAAUAUUAUAUAUUUUGAAAUUUUAUUCAAUAUUAUAC
rnacentral:lncRNA from 1 species